UAUAGAAAGCUAAUUUAGUAAGAGAGCUUAGAUUCCAUUGAUGCUUUCCAUCAUCAUCUCAGUUCUCCCAAAGUUUCUCUGUAAAAGCACAGAGGGCAGUACAGGGACAUGAGCAGGGGCAAGCGCAGGAUUUGCAGUUGGUGUGCUACAUCCUGAGAGCAGCUCCAGCAAACCACUUGGGAAGGCUUGUAAAGGAAAUGGGCACCUAUGACCCAAGGCACCACCCAGUCCCAGCACAGGCCUCUGCCCUGGCUCAGAAUAAUUGCUUGUCUGCUGGUGCUCCUUCUUCAUCCCUGGGUGUCACUAAACGGUUUGGAAACUCUCAGAAACCAGAGUAAUGUUCAUCAGUGGGCUGUGGAAUACUGCCAGCUUCCACGAACCCUAGAGGAAAGUGGUGGUAAGAAGGAGGACUGGAAGAAAGCAACACCUACAGCCCAGGAAAAAUGGGGCCACAGUUAAGGGAGGGACACAAGAGCAGAGCAGAAGACACCCAUCAUGGUGCAACCUCCAUGCGAGUCUGCACACACCACACUUAGGGUGGUAGGGGAUCAGCAAAGAAUAGACUGGCUGAAAAUCAGCGAGUAAAAUAGCUUAAUACCUUCCUAAUCAAAAAGUCUGAGGUGGGGAACUACCUCCUAGCUUAUCAGGACGGGAUCCUUGGAAAACAGUCAGGAAUGAACGCUUGCCUGCAUUCAUCUCUUGCAAGGAGGAGGAGUGCAUGAGAUGCUGUGUGGGGCUGAUGGUUGAUGUUAAACCACAACAGGAUGUAGAUGAGAAAACACAAGAGAUGAGCAUCAGACACAGUAAGACAAUCUAGGGAUGUCUCCUGGAAACAGCAAGAGAAAGCAACAAAGAAAUGGGGAACAGCAUGACUGCAAGCUGUGGGACCAGCAGGCACUGAGGUCUCUGGUUGGGUGGUUAGCUCAACCUUUCUUGAAACAAAAGAAUGAAGUGACUUUGGAGCAGUUUCUCCUUCUCAAGGACUUGGCACCACGUUUUACAGCAAACUUGCACAACACUGGCACCACAAAAAGGAAAGAUGUUACACAGUAUGGGGCCUAGGGAGAGUUUUGUUGCCUUUAUGCACCAUGGAUGAGGGAGUGAAAACCAGCAGUGAACAACUCUUGCUGAAGGGCUUUUUAUGUCUCUCAUUCUAGAAUAAGCAAAGAGAUCCUGUGCAGCCCAAGCAUUUGGUGUGCUGGAAGACAGCGUCUGCUGUGCUCACUUGCAAGUCUUCUGAAGGAAAAUAAGCAGUGCCAAAGAGUUGUUGGGAGGAAGAACCUUGUAUAAACCAGCAAGGGGGCUAUGAAUGUGAUAAUGUUUUAUUGCACUUUUCUAUCUUAACUAAGUUGACACACUGGCCGGUAACUGUCUACUGCCUCUGCAGUUUCCAUUCUGACUCUCCGUGUCGAUAAUGAGCUGGAUUUACAGAGAAAUGAAUCAUGUAGUAGAAGAGAUGCAGAUCCACGCAAAGAAGCUGUAGAUGAAAUAAUAUGUCACUAUUCAAAGCCCACAUUUACUAAUAAAAGACUUGUUUUUCCCUGAAGACAAGUUUGGUGAGAAAAGUAACAGAAAAAAGUUCCUCUUGGAUCUGAAAAUAAAUACAUAUUUUGUUCUGAGAGCCCUGGAUUCUUCUCAGGAUCCAGAGUUAAUCAGCAACAGAUUUCCUGGAGGAAGAGUUCAUUUCAAUUUCUACAUGCACAGGAGUGCACGGAUUGAGGGAGUGAUGUCCCACCAAUGCUCUAGUUUAGCAGUGGGUAAUCAGAAAUGAUUUGAAAUGUCCCAAAUCUAUAAAUUACAUUGCAGUUGUUCCCUGCUAGCAUAAAGAUAACACAAGUGUAAGUUAACCUCAGCGUUCCUACUGCUCAGGGAUCAAGGGGAGUAGAAGAGAAGCAUGGAAGAGUUGCUGCUGCUGUCAGCAAUCUGUACUGCCUCAGCACCUGCUGGGGGAAGAAGAGUCCUCUUCUGCAGAGAGGUGUUUACCAGAAGCACCCCUCAGAAACAGGUCUCAGCCAAAAACUCGUCUGCAGAUCCUGAAAUUACUCCCUUAGCCACAGUGGCCCCAGACACACAGAACAAGCAAUAGCAGAGGUUUGCAGGGCCAAAGCAUUAGACUCUCUCAUAGCAAAACCUCUACUGGGACUUGCAAUCUCAUUGAUACCACCAUCAGUUUGGUCUGCUGCUUUAACAACUCACAUCCACCAGACAGGUAGGAAUCAUACCUGACCUUAUAUCCACACAGUCCAGAUUCGUAUUUCUUGAUAUGCAGAUGUGCUAUAUAUUAAGCAUUGUGCUUUUCAAUGCCAAAUUAAAACCAAAAUUCUUUUUAAUGAGGAGUGGGUGCAGCAGUGUGUGCAUGUGUGUGCCUGUGUGUGGGAGACACCAUGCAGGAAGCUGAGCAGGGCACUUCAUUAUUUCUGCAGUUAAUACUGAAUUGGGAGCUUCCCAUGAACAGGAGGAAAGAAUCUUCAUGCCAGCUUCUCUCAGAAGCACAGGCACCACAGUGAGGAUGACUUGGGGAUGGCCCAUCACUGUCCUGGGAUAACCAUCUACAUGUCCUCUCUUUCAAGAAGCUGGUUUUCAUUCUGCACAGCUGCUGGCCAUGAGGCCCAUUUCUGUGUCAUUGCCUGCUGGUUACAGCUGUGGAGGAAUGAACCUUGUCUCAGUUCUUACCUUUGCUUAAGACAGCUUUUUGCCUUGCAGGAGAGCACUUAAUUAUGAGGAUCUUGUUCUAGGUAGGGUACAGUUUCUACAUGUUACUGUCUAGGUAGAAAAAUAUAAGAACCUUUCUGGAAGUGGGUACUGGAGACCCAGACUAUUUUUUCCCAAAGGAAAAGCCUAAGUGCUACUCCCAAAUACUGAGUUGAAGAGGUUGCUCAACUUUUCAGUUUCUGUAGUCUAUUAAUCCUGCAUUCUUUUCUACAUGACAGCAGAUCUUCAAAAAGGAAUGCAGAGUGCUUAGCGGCCAGAACAGAUCCUGCAGUGAGGUAGCUGCAGACUGUUUUGUUCGUGCUUAGGAAGGCAUCAAGCCUGACUCCUUCUGUGUGACUGAUCUGCCCAGUGAACUAUUAUGUAAAAGGAAAUACGAGCCCUUCCCCAUCUGCUCCCUAAAUGAAGGUAGGCGAUCAAUUCCCUCAGGCACAGCCCAAGCCAAAUGGUGUGUGCUGGGCAUGUCCUGGGAAUAUUCACCCAGCUGAGCCCUGCAGAAAUAUUUAAACAUUUUGUUUUCUGAUUCAGUUCUGGAAUGAGUGUGAGCUGAGCUGCUCUUAUCAAGGGUGGGGGAGUUCUUCACCAGGCCAUGGACACAACUACAGGUCGCUGAUUAACAUCAAAUAAAAAAGCAUGGCAUCUCUUGACUUGACAAAUAAAGUGCCGUUUUCAAAGUAA